GAACUUUCCAGAGAUGGAUUGGUGCCUUCGGGAACUGUGAGACAGGUGCUGCAUGGCUGUCGUCAGCUCGUGUUGUGAAAUGUUGGGUUAAGUCCCGCAACGAGCGCAACCCUUAUCCUUUGUUGCCAGCGGUCCGGCCGGGAACUCAAAGGAGACUGCCAGUGAUAAACUGGAGGAAGGUGGGGAUGACGUCAAGUCAUCAUGGCCCUUACGACCAGGGCUACACACGUGCUACAAUGGCGCAUACAAAGAGAAGCGACCUCGCGAGAGCAAGCGGACCUCAUAAAGUGCGUCGUAGUCCGGAUUGGAGUCUGCAACUCGACUCCAUGAAGUCGGAAUCGCUAGUAAUCGUGGAUCAGAAUGCCACGGUGAAUACGUUCCCGGGCCUUGUACACACCGCCCGUCACACCAUGGGAGUGGGUUGCAAAAGAAGUAGGUAGCUUAACCUUCGGGAGGGCACUUACCACUUUGUGAUUCAUGACUGGGGUGAAGUCGUAACAAGGUAACCGUAGGGGAACCUGCGGUUGGAUCACCUCCUUACCUUAAAGAAGC
rnacentral:rRNA from 1 species